CCUUGUGAUUUCCUUUCUUUUGAUGUGAGGAAAGGAUCUCCAAAAACACCAAAGAUUUGGUGUCUUUAAGUCUCCACACCAAGGAUGAGGUGUGAAGAUAAAAUGGAUGACUUAGAGAAGAAAAGAUUGCUAGCUAAAUCCUCUCUAAGUGGCCGGCCUCCUUGUAGAGAAAAAGAGAGAAAGUGUUUCACCUCUUUGCCUCAAGAAAACCCUAAUGAGAAAAUAGCUAUAAAGUGGACUUUAUACUACAUCACAUUUGAGUGGCAAACUUGUAAUUAAUUCAAGUUUGCAUCCACUCUCCCUUAUGGCCAGCCUUGUCUUUGUUGUUGGGCUAAUUGCCCAUUUUGUUUUAGUUGUCAUACAACUUAAACAUAAAGGGCUUUGUGGACCAAAACACUUUUGGGCCCCGAAACCCAAAACCAACUUAAAAGCCCAAUACGAACCUUUCGUAAAAUUAUUUAACUAAUUAAUUAAUCUUGACCAUUUUCAAUUAAACCAUUAAUUGCAUAUCCAUUUCAUUUAUAUUUCUUCA
rnacentral:lncRNA from 1 species